CUAUCACAGUUAUAGUCUUCCCCGAAGGCGGAGCCACCAUCUUAGUCACCACAGAAUGUUCAGCACCUGUGUCGAUCAUGAAAGAACUUCUCUUUCCUCCUAUUGCUACAUCGACCAUAGGCUACGCUCGACCAAGUGGGAUGGAGCCCGGUCGGUAUAAAUAGUCUUCCAUGAUAGUGUCAGCCAGACCCACAAAAUCUCUAUCCUCU